rnacentral:rRNA from 1 species
CGAGGCACUACGGUGCUGAAGCAACAAAUGCCCUGCUUCCAGGAAAAGCCUCUAAGCCUCAGGUAACAUCAAAUCGUACCCCAAACCGACACAGGUGGUCAGGUAGAGAAUACCAAGGCGCUUGAGAGAACUCGGGUGAAGGAACUAGGCAAAAUGGUGCCGUAACUUCGGGAGAAGGCACGCUGACACGUAGGUGAAGUGGUUUACCCAUGGAGCUGAAGUCAGUCGAAGAUACCAGCUGGCUGCAACUGUUUAUUAAAAACACAGCACUGUGCAAACACGAAAGUGGACGUAUACGGUGUGACGCCUGCCCGGUGCCGGAAGGUUAAUUGAUGGGGUCAGCGCAAGCGAAGCUCCUGAUCGAAGCCCCGGUAAACGGCGGCCGUAACUAUAACGGUCCUAAGGUAGCGAAAUUCCUUGUCGGGUAAGUUCCGACCUGCACGAAUGGCGUAAUGAUGGCCAGGCUGUCUCCACCCGGGACUCAGUGAAAUUGAACUCGCUGUGAAGAUGCAGUGUACCCGCGGCAAGACGGAAAGACCCCGUGAACCUUUACUAUAGCUUGACACUGAACACUGGUCCUUGAUGUGCAGGAUAGGUGGGAGGCUUUGAAGUGUGGACGCCAGUCUGCAUGGAGCCAUCCUUGAAAUACCACCCUUUAAUGGCUGGUGUUCUAACGUGGGCCCGUGAACCGGGUUGCGGACAGUGUCUGGUGGGUAGUUUGACUGGGGCGGUCUCCUCCUAAAGAGUAACGGAGGAGCACGAAGGUUGGCUAAUCCUGGUCGGACAUCAGGAGGUUAGUGCAAUGGCAUAAGCCAGCUUGACUGCGAGCGUGACGGCGCGAGCAGGUGCGAAAGCAGGUCAUAGUGAUCCGGUGGUUCUGAAUGGAAGGGCCAUCGCUCAACGGAUAAAAGGUACUCCGGGGAUAACAGGCUGAUACCGCCCAAGAGUUCAUAUCGACGGCGGUGUUUGGCACCUCGAUGUCGGCUCAUCACAUCCUGGGGCUGAAGUAGGUCCCAAGGGUAUGGCUGUUCGCCAUUUAAAGUGGUACGCGAGCUGGGUUUAGAACGUCGUGAGACAGUUCGGUCCCUAUCUGCCGUGGGCGCUGGAAGAUUGAGGGGGGCUGCUCCUAGUACGAGAGGACCGGAGUGGACGCAUCACUGGUGUUCGGGUUGUCAUGCCAAUGGCACUGCCCGGUAGCUACAUGCGGAAGAGAUAAGUGCUGAAAGCAUCUAAGCACGAAACUUGCCCCGAGAUGAAUCUUCCCUGAGCCUUUAAGGCUCCUGAAGGAACGUUGAAGACGACGACGUUGAUAGGCCGGGUGUGUAAGCGCAGCGAUGCGUUGAGCUAACCGGUACUAAUGAACCGUGAGGCUUAACCUUACAACGCCGAAG